GUGUAGGCCUCGUAGGAAGGGCAGGUGCUGUAUACCAAAUUUGUCGCUUGUGUGGCAUGGUUGUGUGCCCCUGGUUGUCAUCUUCUGGUUGGUAGCAUUUUUGGGCCGGUUAGGUCCCGUUUAGGUGGCUUAAUUCAGCUUAAUUAUCGCUGCAUAGCAGGAGCUAACCAGGUCUGCGUCCUCUCCUCUCAGCGGUCAGGCCCUGCCCCCCAUAUGGUGGUUUUUAAAAGACAGAAACAA